rnacentral:rRNA from 1 species
UACGUAGGGGGCAAGCGUUGUCCGGAUUUAUUGGGCGUAAAGAGCGUGUAGGCGGUUUGGUAGGUCCGUUGUGAAAACUCGAGGCUCAACCUCGAGACGCCGAUGGAAACCAUCAGACUAGAGUCCGGAAGAGGAGAGUGGAAUUCCUGGUGUAGCGGUGAAAUGCGCAGAUAUCAGGAAGAACACCCGUGGCUAAGGCGGCUCUCUAGUACGGUACUGACGCUGAGACACGAAAGCGUGGGGAGCGAACAGG